rnacentral:rRNA from 1 species
AUUGAACGCUGGCGGCAUGCUUUACACAUGCAAGUCGAACGGCAGCACGGGAGCUUGCUCCUGGUGGCGAGUGGCGAACGGGUGAGUAAUACAUCGGAACGUACCCUGAAGUGGGGGAUAACGUAGCGAAAGUUACGCUAAUACCGCAUAUUCUGUGAGCAGGAGAGAGGGGGAUCGCAAGACCUCUUGCUUUAGGAGCGGCCGAUGUCGGAUUAGCUAGUUGGUGAGGUAAAGGCUCACCAAGGCGACGAUCCGUAGCGGGUCUGAGAGGAUGAUCCGCCACACUGGGACUGAGACACGGCCCAGACUCCUACGGGAGGCAGCAGUGGGGAAUUUUGGACAAUGGGCGCAAACCUGAUCCAGCCAUGCCGCGUGAGUGAAGAAGGCC